AUUGAACGCUGGCGGCAGGCCUAACACAUGCAAGUCGAACGAGUGGCGGACGGGUGAGUAAUGUCUGGGAAACUGCCUGAUGGAGGGGGAUAACUACUGGAAACGGUAGCUAAUACCGCAUACCAUCGGAUGUGCCCAGAUGGGAUUAGCUAGUAGGUGGGGAAAAGGCUCACCUCGGCGACGAUCCCUAGCUGGUCUGAGAGGAUGACAAGCCACACGGGAACUGAGACACGGUCCAGACCCCGAGGGGAGGCAGCAGGGGGGAAUAUUGCACAAUGGGGGCAAGCCUGAGGCAGCCAGGCCGGGUGUAUGAAGAAGGCCUUCGGGUGGUAAAGUACUUUCAGCGGGGAGGGGUUACCGGCAGAAGAAGCACCGGCUACCUCCUUGCCAGCACCGCGGUAAUAC
rnacentral:rRNA from 1 species